rnacentral:rRNA from 1 species
GACGAACGCUGGCGGCGUGCUUAACACAUGCAAGUCGAACGCUGAAGCCUGGCUUUUGUUGGGUGGAUGAGUGGCGAACGGGUGAGUAACACGUGAGUAACCUGCCCCCUUCUUUGGGAUAACGCCCGGAAACGGGUGCUAAUACUGGAUAUUCACUGGCCUUCGCAUGGGGGUUGGUGGAAAGGGUUUUCUGGUGGGGGAUGGGCUCGCGGCCUAUCAGCUUGUUGGUGGGGUGAUGGCCUACCAAGGCUUUGACGGGUAGCCGGCCUGAGAGGGUGACCGGUCACAUUGGGACUGAGAUACGGCCCAGACUCCUACGGGGAGGCAGCAGUGGGGGGAAUAUUGCACAAUGGGCGAAAGCCUGAUGCAGCGACGCCGCGUGAGGGAUGGAGGCCUUCGGGUUGUGAACCUCUUUCGCUCAUGGUCAAGCCGCAACUGUGGGUUGUGGUGAGGGUAGUGGGUAAAGAAGCGCCGGCUAACUACGUGCCAGCAGCCGCGGUAA